rnacentral:misc_RNA from 1 species
GGGUAAUGGGCUUCAGAAUCAGAGUCAGAGCUUUCUGAAGACAAAGAUUGGGCCAGAUCAAAAUCAGUAUCUGCUCCUAGAGCGAAAACAGUUUCUUCAUCUGGUUCAUCCUGCUCAGAGAACAAGGAUUCUAUGUCAUUAUGCUCUAGAGAGAUAUGAGAAGCCUGCUGAAUAUGUUGUAGGAGCUUGAUAAUCUGUUAGGAUUAUUGGGACAGUUCUUUGCAUAGUGCCCUCGAUUGCCAUAGAUAUAGCAACGAUCAGACUUCUUCGUCCCCAAUCUUCUCUUUCGAAAAUAUCGAACUAGUUUCCUCCCUUUUCGGUAUUUGAGAGGAGCCUUGGAUCCGGAAGAGCUAGGAUACUUCUUGUAGUGACCUUUCUUCUUUGGUUUGCACUCACAAUUCUUCUCCUUGCAUUUGAUAGCAAGAUGGGACUUCUGGCAGACAUUCUUCAAGGCUUUGCUGUUGUCAAUGAUGUCCUUGAAAAGUUUAUGUUGUUCACACAUUUUAUCUAGGCAAGCCAGUGUCAUCUGGUGUAUUUUCCUAAUAGUGAUGGCAUUCAUAGCUCUGCGAGUAGUGGCAAUGCUUCUGUGUAAUUCUGGUUGCAGCGCUUGAAGGAGAGAGGCAAUAUAAGUGUGCAGAUUUAUGUCAUUGUAGCCAUUCAGCAAAUAGUAGUGCUGGACCAUACGCUGAUAAUGCCUUUCUAUGUCUGUCAUUUUCAAAGAACAGCAACGCAUGUCAAAGAACUCUUGUUGUAACUGCUUGCUAUACAAAGAGGCGUCUCCAAGGAAUUCAGCAAAGAUGGCAUUGAUUGCUUGCAGGAUAUUUAAGUGGCAGAAUUGAGCUUUGUGAUAUUCUCCAAGGGAGGCAAACCAAUCUUGAAGUGUUCCAAUGGUUCGAGAUAUAAAUUCCCUGAGAACAGUAUGAGAAUCAGCACCUUCUCUGAGCAUCUAAACAUCAAGCCAAGCUUUGAAUUCUGCAAGACGAACCCUAAGAAAACAACUAGCUGAAUAUCUCUGUGAAAUCAACGGCUAUUAUUGUCUGGUGUCUCCCCAUGUAAAUUGAACAGCACUUGGUCCCAUCCGGUCUCUCACUGAUGAGCCCAUUAACUGGACUCAUCCCAUGUGGCAAGAUUCUCAGAUCCAAUGGACACAGAGUCACGGGAUGCCAUUCAAAGUGCUGACCCACCAUUUCCUGUACACCGACUGUGGCCAAUCAGAAGACAACUCUUCAGAUGACUUAUCUGAAGAUGACAGUGAGGACGGAAGAAUGGACAUCACGACAUUGCUCAUGGCUGAUCCUCAACCAACUGCAUCUCAAAUAGGCCCAUCCUCAACUACAGAUUCCACCAAUGGCACUACAGGCCCUCCCACUAGGCCUCCUCAAGCCCAAGAUGCAUCUUUAUAUAGCAAACAGCUACGCUAAGAGUUCUUUGACAUGCGAUGUUGCUAUUUAAAGAGAACAGAUAUUGAAAAGCAUUAUCAGUGCAUGGCUCAGCGGGUUGGUAUUUUUCAUCCUUGAACUUCAUUCCAAGGAAGUCG